rnacentral:rRNA from 1 species
UACGUAGGGUGCGAGCGUUGUCCGGAAUCAUUGGGCGUAAAGCGCGUGUAGGCGGUCCGGUAAGUCCGCUGUGAAAGUCGGGGGCUCAACCCUCGGAUGCCGGUGGAUACUGUCGGGCUCGAGUCCGGAAGAGGAGUGUGGAAUUCCUGGUGUAGCGGUGAAAUGCGCAGAUAUCAGGAGGAACACCAAUGGCGAAGGCAGCACUCUGGGACGUGACUGACGCUGAGACGCGAAAGCGUGGGGAGCAAACAGG